rnacentral:rRNA from 1 species
UACGUAGGUGGCAAGCGUUGUCCGGAUUUACUGGGCGUAAAGGGUAUGUAGGCGGAUCUCUAAGUAGAAAGUGAAAAGGUUGGGGCUCAACCCCAACACUGCUCUCUAUACUGGGGAACUUGAGUGCCGGAGAGGAAGAUGGAACUACACGUGUAGCGGUGAUAUGCGUUGAGAUGUGUAGGAACACCAAUGGCGAAAGCAAUCUUCUGGACGGAUACUGACGCUGAUAUACGAAAGCCAAGGGAGCGAACAGG